rnacentral:rRNA from 1 species
GACGAACGCUGGCGGCGUGCUUAACACAUGCAAGUCGAACGGAAAGGCCCUGCUUUUGUGGGGUGCUCGAGUGGCGAACGGGUGAGUAACACGUGGGUAACCUGCCCUUGACUUUGGGAUAACUUUAGGAAACUGGGGCUAAUACCGGAUAGGACCUCCUGCUGCAUGGUGGGGGUUGGAAAGUUUCGGCGGUUGGGGAUGGACUCGCGGCUUAUCAGCUUGUUGGUGGGGUAGUGGCUUACCAAGGCGUUGACGGGUAGCCGGCCUGAGAGGGUGAACGGCCACAUUGGGACUGAGAUACGGCCCAGACUCCUACGGGAGGCAGCAGUGGGGAAUAUUGCACAAUGGGCGGAAGCCUGAUGCAGCAACGCCGCGUGCGGGAUGACGGCCUUCGGGUUGUAAACCGCUUUCGCCUGUGACGAAGCGUGAGUGACGGUAAUGGGUAAAGAAGCACCGGCUAACUACGUG